rnacentral:rRNA from 1 species
AGCGCGCGCAGGCGGUUUCUUAAGUCUGAUGUGAAAGCCCCCGGCUCAACCGGGGAGGGUCAUUGGAAACUGGGGAACUUGAGUGCAGAAGAGGAGAGUGGAAUUCCACGUGUAGCGGUGAAAUGCGUAGAGAUGUGGAGGAACACCAGUGGCGAAGGCGACUCUCUGGUCUGUAACUGACGCUGAGGCGCGAAAGCGUGGGGAGCGAACAGGAUUAGAUACCCUGGUAGUCCACGCCGUAAACGAUGAGUGCUAAGUGUUAGAGGGUUUCCGCCCUUUAGUGCUGCAGCAAACGCAUUAAGCACUCCGCCUGGGGAGUACGGUCGCAAGACUGAAACUCAAAGGAAUUGACGGGGGCCCGCACAAGCGGUGGAGCAUGUGGUUUAAUUCGAAGCAACGCGAAGAACCUUACCAGGUCUUGACAUCCUCUGACAACCCUAGAGAUAGGGCUUCCCCUUCGGGGGCAGAGUGACAGGUGGUGCAUGGUUGUCGUCAGCUCGUGUCGUGAGAUGUUGGGUUAAGUCCCGCAACGAGCGCAACCCUUGAUCUUAGUUGCCAGCAUUCAGUUGGGCACUCUAAGGUGACUGCCGGUGACAAACCGGAGGAAGGUGGGGAUGACGUCAAAUCAUCAUGCCCCUUAUGACCUGGGCUACACACGUGCUACAAUGGGCAGAACAAAGGGCAGCGAAGCCGCGAGGCUAAGCCAAUCCCACAAAUCUGUUCUCAGUUCGGAUCGCAGUCUGCAACUCGACUGCGUGAAGCUGGAAUCGCUAGUAAUCGCGGAUCACAUGC